UAGAAGAAUGAGCGCCUUGGUCGCGUGUGUCGUGUGCUCUUGACUGUUGGCAACCCCCCACCCGCACCCUCGACGCCGAUUUGCUCUGUUACCCGUUCUCUGACGAAACUGAAUCGAAGAAGCCAUUCAGGUUCAGCCUGCUGGUGCAGUGUUGCCUGAAAACUCAUGCUUGCGCGCAUGACCCUCAAACAUUCGCAGCGCCCUCUUUAGGAUUCUGCAAAGAUUUUUCUUUUCAGCUCAUGAGCUCUGGAUUAUAGGGCAGUCAGCCGCUCUUCUUCAUCUCCUUCCAGCUUCUCCUGCUCUGAACUUGUGAUGGCGCUGCCGCUGCAUGUCCCUGCCUGACAGGACUACAGGAGGUGCGCGGCGCCGGCAGCAACCGCGUCUAUUGGAAGGUGGUGGACCACGCCGCCGGGAUUUCACGCAGGCAUUUGGACACGAGGAACGUACGGCCGGAGAGCCGCGCGCGGCGGCGGCGUUUCCUGUCUGUCAAACUCGAACGCCGACCGGCCCUUGGAGCUCGCGAAAUCCUUUUGCCCACGCAAGCUAGGACUGCCGCCAGACAGGCAGGAGCAAGAGGAAGAAGAGGAGAGGCACACAAGGGAAGGGACGCCGGCGUGAGGCGGCGCUCCGGCGAGCGGAGGACCGGAUCGCGAUCGAGAAUUUUGCAAAAAUCGAUUACCCCCUGGUGGGUUCGUCCUCCGCGCGUCCGGCGCCGCCUGCCGCCGCCGCCGCCGCCGUCCUCCGCGCCCACCAGAAGGGCAUACCACCACCCAUAUGACCACCAGCGAGGCUAGCUCCGAGAAUCGCGGCGUUCGCCGCCUGCAGAAGAAGUUGCUCUCGGUGAUGAAAUGCUGCACCAUCACCUAUGUAAGAAGCAGCAGAGGUUCUUCCUCUUAAUGAAAAACGUGCCAAGGCACGGUCGCGAAAAAAAGAAGCAGCAGGGGGAGGAUCUGGCAUUCCGCCAUUCCGGCUCAUGUGGAAGAAGGAAGCUAGUGUUUUCAAGAAGGAAGCCCUCGUCGGAGAAGCCGUUGCCACCGUCGUCGUUCCAGAUCAGGCGAGGUAGAGAUCGCUCCUCUGAACCUUUGCGAGGUUGAGCAGCUGCAGGGGGUCAAAGCAACAACGCACAGUGGUGAGAUUAGAGCUGCAUAGAGGUGAUUUAUACUGUCAGUUGAAAUUGUCAAGGCAAAUUCGUCAGUCAGGUGUUACUGUGCAGCGAAGACUAAAGAUCAACGAACUAAGUUACAUAGACAGACAGAGACUAUCUUCAGAAUUCAGACAAGCAUCAUGUGUGACUCGUAUAGUAGCAGGAAAUUAGUGAGUGGGCAGUGGUUAAGCUUUCAGGUUUUGCUCAUGUCUCAGCUCUCAAGUGCUGAUGACUGAAUUCCUCAUCAGGACAUUAGUGGAGGAGCCCGAAAUUUCACUACUUGGCAGAAACAGAAAGCAACAAAUUACAGACGACCCCAUUGAAGACGGGAGUGAGGAACAACAAGGCCAUUUCCGUCCACCUUCUCACUGAGCCGUACGUGGAUGUUACGCUCAUACAGCUCCCAGCCAGCAGGCAGUUAGUGAUAAAUUGACAUCAAAACUCUAGUCGACAGAAUGUUUUUUUUCCGCUCACAGUAGUAGUCCCAAUAUUCCAAUAUUACAGCAUUAGCAGCGUUUUGUCUCGAUGAAAAAUAUUCUGGUGACCAUAAUGGAUAGAUAGGAUUUCUUCUCUAUCCUUUGGACUUGAA